AUGCGGGACUUAUCAGAGGCCUCGCAAUUGGAAUGAGCGCACUUUAAAUCGUUCGACGAGGAUCUAUUGGAGGGCAAGUCUGGUGCCAGCAGCCGCGGUAAUUCCAGCUCCAAUAGCGUAUAUUAAAGUUGUUGCAGUUAAAAAGCUCGUAGUUGGAUCUGGGGUUCGGGUCGGCGGUUUGCCGCUUCGGCGGCUACUGCCGUGCUCGACUCUUACUAGCCGGUGCGUCUUGCGGUGCUCUUCAUCGAGUGCCGUAGGAGCCUGGCAUGUUUACUUUAAAAAAAUUAGAGUGCUCAAAGCAGGCGAUUCCGCCUGAAUAGUGUUGCAUGGAAUAAUGGAAUAGGACCUCGGUUCUAUUUUGUUGGUUUUCGGAACUUGAGGUAAUGAUUAAGAGGGACGGUCGGGGGCAUUCGUAUUUCGGUGUUAGAGGUGAAAUUCUUGGAUCGCUGAAAGACGGACAGAUGCGAAAGCAUCUGCCAAGAACGUCUCCAUUAAUCAAGAACGAAAGUCAGAGGUUCGAAGACGAUCAGACACCGUCCUAGUUCUGACCAUAAACGAUGCCAACUAGCGAUCCGCAGUGGUUGCUAUAAACGGACUCUGCGAGCAGCUUCCGGGAAACCAAAGUGUUUGGGUUCCGGGGGAAGUAUGGUUGCAAAGCUGAAACUUAAAGGAAUUGACGGAAGGGCACCACCAGGAGUGGAGCCUGCGGCUUAAUUUGACCCAACACGGGGAAACUCACCCGGUCCGGACACUGUAAGGAUUGACAGAUCGAGAGCUCUUUCUUGAUUCGGUGGAUGGUGGUGCAUGGCCGUUCUUAGUUGGUGGAGUGAUUUGUCUGGUUAAUUCCGAUAACGAACGAGACUCUAGCCUGCUACUAGUUGCGCCGUGUUCAUACGCGGCUGUAGACUUCUUAGAGGGACAGGUGGCGUUUAGCCACACGAAAUUGAGCAAUAACAGGUCUGUGAUGCCCUUAGAUGUCCGGGGCCGCACGCGCGCUACACUGAGGGAGUCAGCGUGUGCUAUCCGGGCUCGGAAGAGUUCGGUAACCCGUUGAAACUCCUUCGUGCUUGGGAUUGUGGCUUGUAAUUAUCGCGCAUGAACGAGGAAUUCCCAGUAAGUGCAAGUCAUCAGCUUGCGCUGACUACGUCCCUGCCCUUUGUACACACCGCCCGUCGCUACUACCGAUUGAAUGGUUUAGCAAGGUACUCGGAUUGGUCUCGAUCUUGUACGAAAGUGCGGGAUCUGUGGCCGAGAAGAAGGCCAAACUUGAUCAUUUAGAGGAAGUAAA
rnacentral:rRNA from 1 species